GUUCAGAUGCUCAGUAACAAACUCCACCAAUGAGCCAACAGGGAAGCUUUAGGUUUAUUAAAUGUUGCUAUGAAGGUUUCACUGUUUUUCUUUGUGAAUGCAAUGAGCUCCAACUGAAAGUUGAAUUAGAACUUAGAAGUAAAUCCUUCCAUCUGAAAGGAUUUAGUUGCAUUAAUAACCUCAUAACAUUCUAAUUUUUAUUCCAGUCUUGGUUGGAAAUAGAAUCUCUGUAUUGAUUCAGGUAAAAACUGAACUUCACAGCAUGUUGGAGCAAAACAACCAGAUGAAAACUGUGAUGGUGUUGGAUUGUCAGACUGUAAUGUUGCAGCUCAAAGCAGCUUUUCUAUCUCAGUUCAUUCUGACAUUCAGCUAUGAAUCAACACAGCAGAUGGUGAUCCAUGCUGUGGAAGUCUCACAUCUCCUGAUUUAAUGGAGCUGCUUUGCACUUUUUACACUGUUUAUUCACCAACACUUUAUUUAAUAAAAGUCCCAUCUAGUUUUUAUGAGGAAUGUGAUGUUUUAAUUUCUCUGUGAAUAACUGCAGUCUAAUGGAACAGCUGAAACUGUAACAUCUGUCCUGAUAUUGAUCAUGAAGUAUUGAUCAGAAUACUUAUGGUCAGCAGUCAUCCCUGAAGUUUUACAUUCAAAUCAUUACUUGUGUUGUGAACUUUGGUAAGAAGCAGAAACUUUAGCGUUGCCAUGGAUACAUGAGUGUUAAAUUCUGUCCAUGUUUCCAUUUUGGGAAAUUCAGUCCAGCAGAUCAGUUUGUUUUUACUGCCAGCUACAUUCAGUCUGAGAUAUUAAGAAUAAAUAAAUGUGCAUAAUGUGGAAAUGAACAGAUUCUAUUUUUAUUUAUUCCUACAGAUGCUGCAGGUAAAGUUAUAGAAUGUGGAGGAAUUUAGUCUCACAAUCACAGACAAUAAAUAUUAUCUGAAAGUCGGAUUAUUGUUGUUUAUCAGCACAAUACAAAAAGAUUCAUGUUAGAAAUAUUCCAGUUAAGACUCUAGAAUAUCAGGAUUUAUGUAAAUUUACCUCAAUAAUAUGAAUGUUCAGGUUGUGCAGUGAUAUUUAUUAUGUGAGUUUAGCUGAUUAAAGUUUAUUAUUUAAAUUGACAUCAUUAUUAUAAUAUUUAAGGUCAGACUCUACAGUAUUGAGAUUAAGAAAUCAAAUAUUCUAUAAAAUGUAAAUACACUGAACUCAUUUGGAGAUAUUUAAGUGAGACUCUACAAUAUUAUUUAUGACACAAAUCUAUCUAAAUCAACAUUUUAAUCAUUUUUACUCCAAACAUUUACUGGACUGAUUUGAAUAUUAAAAUCACUCCUUUCUAAUCCUCUGCUGUACGUUCAAACCUGAGGCCUUAAAUAGAAACACACAAGUAUCUGAUUGAAGGAACUUCUGCAGAGUCCUGGUUCCACAACAUGAUGAUAGAAUUAUAGACAAACUUCAACAAAAGCUGCCUGAGAGUUUACAGCUUUUUAUGUUGGAUUUCUUCAGUAAUUUAAUGAGAGUUAUCAGCAAAAAUCAAGUGUUCAUUUGAUGAACUUCAUUUCUUAAAACAUCCAGAAUUGGAGCUCAUAUCUUUGGCAGCUGUAAAGUUUCUGCUCCUUCAAAGUUCACAACACAAUAAAUGAAUUCCUAAAACACUCUCAAUGCUGGAGAGCUUUUGAUGCUGAAGCAGUGACCAGUUUUUCUGUUUCUUCUCUGGAGAUGCACAAUGAGGGACGUCUGCAGAGACUGAGAAAGAGUCUCACCACAUCCUGACAUGAGGAAAAAGACUUUAUUGAAGACUACAAUGAGAAAAACUAUCAGACAGCAGACGGCUGCAUUCAAGAGAGGAAGACCAUCAAACAUCCACGUCAGCUGAUGGAGGUCCAAGAGUCUCACCCAACAAACAACCUACAGAGUGAAGACCUCCAAUCUGAUUGGACGGCCUCCUAUUCAGCCACAUUUUAAGCUGUUAGAUUGUUCCAGAUAAGACAAGUACAAGAUUCUUCAGAGCCGUUCUACCACGAGCCUGACGGGAAGAACUCCAACAUCUACUGAAUGUUCCUGUGGUUCCCUCAAGGCUACAGGAGGAGUCCUACGAGGACGAGCUGGUCCACCUGAUGGUGGCCAGUCGCUGCGGUUCAAAGCCAACACCGACUACGUGGACUUCUACUGGACCACACGGAGGCCUUCAAACCGGACCAACAAGUUCAGCGACUCCCCGACUCGUGGGUCUGAGGACGCCGCCGAGCCUCGGUCCAGCCGGCCUCCUGUCUGUGGGUGUUUGAGUGCUGAGAGGUUUGUGGAUGCAUGUGAACGUUCUGUGUUGAAACAGCAGCUUUGGACUCAGUAACGCCGGGAAAAACCAAGAGCUCCUUUAUUUGUGACUUCCGCUAAAAAACUGAUGAAAAUAAGUUUGCCAGGGUUCUGACUGAUAACAGAUUAUUAAAUAAUGAAAAUAAUCCUUUAAAUAUUCCUUUAAACAAUCCUUUUAGGUCUAC
ensembl:lncRNA